UGCAUGUCUCAGUGCAAGCCAAAUUAAGGUGAAACCGCGAAUGGCUCAUUAAAUCAGUUAUGGUUCCUUAGAUCGUACCCACGUUACUUGGAUAACUGUGGUAAUUCUAGAGCUAAUACAUGCAAACAGAGCUCUGACCAGAAAUGGAAAGAGCGCUUUUAUUAGAUCAAAACCAAUCGGUCGGCUCGUCCGGUCCGUUUGCCUUGGUGACUCUGAAUAACUUUGGGCUGAUCGCACGGUCUUUGUACCGGCGACGCAUCUUUCAAAUGUCUGCCUUAUCAACUUACGAUGGUAGGUUCUGCGCCUACCAUGGUUGUAACGGGUAACGGGGAAUCAGGGUUCGAUUCCGGAGAGGGAGCCUGAGAAACGGCUACCACAUCCAAGGAAGGCAGCAGGCGCGCAAAUUACCCACUCCCGGCACGGGGAGGUAGUGACGAAAAAUAACGAUACGGGACUCAUCCGAGGCCCCGUAAUCGGAAUGAGUACACUUUAAAUCCUUUAACGAGUAUCC
rnacentral:rRNA from 14 species